rnacentral:rRNA from 1 species
AUUGAACGCUGGCGGCAGGCUUAACACAUGCAAGUCGAGCGAGCGGCGGACGGGUGAGUAAUGUCUGGGAAACUGCCUGAUGGAGGGGGAUAACUACUGGAAACGGUAGCUAAUACCGCAUACCAUCAGAUGUGCCCAGAUGGGAUUAGCUAGUAGGUGGGGUAAUGGCUCACCUAGGCGACGAUCGCUAGCUGGUCUGAGAGGAUGACCAGCAACACUGGAACUGAGACACGGCCAUGCUUCCUAGGGGAGGCGGCAGUGGGGAAUAUUGCACAAUGGGCGCAAGCCUGAUGCAGACAUGCCGGGUGUGGGAAGAAGGCCUUCGGGUUGUAAAGCACUUUCAGCGAGGAGGCGGUACUCGAAGAAGAAGCACCGGCUAACUCCGUGCCAGCAGCCGCGGUAAUAC